CUGUCAGACAUGCGUGUUGUACUGUAGACCCGCAUUUUUUCACUCGCCUCUGUUUAUAUUUUUGAAAAACGGGGCAUUUUACACGAAGUGAGACUUCAGCGUGCAGCGACACAAACACCGGAACACCUCUGACACCAGUUGUAUCCACCGGACUCUCCUGGAGGUACGUUGUCCUUCCUUUCCCAGGUUUGGAGAGAUGUCGUCCGUGUGGCAGCAGGAGCCGUCAGGUUACUCCCCGUGCGUAGAGAUCGACUCCAGCUCUGUGAGGUGCAAAGACAGACUCAACUCUCCCGUCUGGCUGAAGCAGGAACAAGACGACCUCCGCAUCAUCAAGUGGGAGACUUUUCAGACGGGGGCCUCAGCCGAUGCCGUUCAGGACAACACACCCAGCAGUGCCAUGUCCGGUGCCUCACAGGCAGAGAACCUGCCCCCGAGGGUGCUGCUGACCAUCACCAAGCUCCAGUGCAUGCUGGAGAGCAAACAGGAGCGCAUCGCUGCUCUGGAGAGACAGGUGGAGGACCUGACGCAGGACCGCAAGUUCCUCCGGAGCCAAAUUGAAAACCUGACAAGUAACCGCCCCAUGCCAACGUUUGCAUCCCCCGGUCCUCUGGCCGAAGCUCCAAAACACAGCAAAGUGCAGCACUCAGAAAACAAAUCCCGCAAGAGAGAAAGAGCGUCCUCGUGUUCCUCUGGCAGCAGCAACAGCGGCUCCGAAGCGUCGGAAUCGUCCGAAGUUUCUGCGGCCUCAAGCGAACACCGAAGAAAGAAACACCACAAGGACAAGAAAAGAUCCAAGAAAUGGAAGGACUACAGCAGGAAGAGGGCCACCGGUGUGCAGUAUGUCAUCCACCGCUACAAACAAGUCCUGUCAGCCUUCAUCAAGAAGAAAAGCAUGAGCGAAGCCUUCCGUCAUCUCGGGAUCGACCGGAACACCAUCGCCAACACGGCAUCGAUUGCCGAGCUCCAUCUGGCCGGCAAAGACAUGGUCCCCUUGGUGGGGAUGUUUCGCCAAGGAGAAGAGACUCUGGUCAGCUACGCCCAAAGGUGCACCUUAGUCAUUGACAGCGACGCUGACCUCUCCAGGAGAAUAGACCAUAUGAAAGCUAACGGCGAGCUUCUGCCCAUCUCAGGGAAAAGGCCAAGGGUGUUGCAUUCUCACCUGCAGCAGCUGGGGGGCGCUGCAGAGAGCAUUCUAAUAGGUUGAUGACUAUUGCAUUGCAUGGAGGGAGAAGUGAAACAUAAUACCUUCAAAAACAAUUAUGUUGUUUUGUAUAUUUUUUCCACUGACUGCAUUUUUUGCAUUUAAAAAAAAAAGUGUAUUUAUGUCUCAAGGGGAUCAACAAUGUUAAUUAUUUUAAGUAUAUACAUUCCAGUAUCCACAUACACACAUUUAGGAUGUAUAUUUUGUACUAGAUAGACAUAAAAAGGAUUUACAGCUGCUGAUGUCACUGAUGGAUGUCUUCUUAAUCUUUGAAGAGCAGAAGUGUGUGCAGUGUUGGAAACAUCCACAAGAUGGCAGUGCUCGCAUGUCAGAUUAUGUUUUCAAAUCACUCCUCUUGUCAUUUACUUCAAAAUGGUGGAUAGUCAAUUGCCAUUUUCCAGCACCUCCUUAUGUUGGAGGUGCAACUUUCUGUCCAUAGACUUUGUGAAGAUGAUUUUGUCGACAUUAUCCUGUGAUUCAAAUGCUGCGAUUGUGACCGAGCGAAUUUCAAAUCUGAAUUUGUCGCAAAGUGUGUUAAUGUGUCUGAACUGCCAACAAAUGAAAACGAAAACACAAAGUUUGUUCAUAUGGAGAUUUUGUUGAGUUAUGUCGCCUUUUGUUUUUAACCCGGGGUAUUUUUAAGCAUCCCGUAUCAAGACACAGAUACUUGGUACUGCUGCACGCGACCUUUAAUAGAAACUGACCUUUCAGAAGUCACUUGAUCCCAGGUCAAGGGAUGGUGACGGAGCACAUCAACACCAAAUCACAUCAAUUCUGUUUCCUGUAAGAUGAAAUGUGACUUGACAACAAGUGAAAUGCAACAGAGGACAAAUCUAUGCGCUAUUAAAUUUGCUUUCAGAGGCAUAUUUUCAUUUUCUUGACCCUAGGAGCAGUUGUGCAGACAGAUGGGAAAAGCUUGGAAAGACAUCCUCGGGGCGACGAAACUAGCAAACUCACGUGACCGACUACAGUCCAUAAAAGCAUCAAUUGGACACAGAUGAGAUGAUGGUAUGUGACGUAAAAGAAUACGCAAGAUGACAGUGUGAAGGAACACCCCCCCCCACCCCCAACCACAACCCCAACCCCAACCUCAAAUCCUGUUGGUUAUUCGACCAGUGACGCAGGACAAACCAGACAUCUUUGGCACAAAAAGAAAAAUCAUUUGAAGGGGACUGGAUACAGGCGGACAAACAACUCAGUAAAAGCCUCACAAUAUGUUUCAGAAUGCUCUGAUAAAGCAGGGAUGAUAUGGAGUGUCGUCCGUCAUGUUUAAAAGUGGCCCGAGUGUUUAUGAGUAGGCGGUGGUUUGACUCGGAUGACUCAGUCACAGUUGUGCACGUCCUCUCUCACGGGGUUAAUGAUGGAAGAAAGUGGAAGUAAAAAGAAAAAGGAGAAAGUGGAGGAGUGAAAUGACUAAAGUGCCACUGGCCAUUAACUGCAGAUCAGAGCUGUCGUAUUAUCUGGAAACACAGACAGAUGGGAGGUUUGGCCAUAGGGGAAAUGCUUUCACUGUCUGCCAUGAUAAUAGUGCCACGAGAAGUCGGAUGUUUGGUGAGAAAGAUAUGUUUUGGAAACUGACUAUAAUCGAAGGGAUAGCAUGGUUGUACGUUUUUCAUUAUGGGAUUAGGGGAAGCUGGGCUUUUCUGUGUAUUCUCUUCUACUUGACCUCUAUUAUGAUAACAGAUGUUAAUUACACAGUGCUGGGUUUCCCUAUGUUGUUCUCACAAAUUGCAGGUUCCCCCCAGUACGCCCUUUCUGUUUUACAGACGCACAGACGUAUGUUUUCAGUUUCUUUGAGCAAAAUACAUGUUUUUUUAGCGCAUUCUGUGGUGUUAAGUCAGAUUUAGUGGGAUGACUGUAUGAGAGGUGGGUGUAUUUGCUCCUGGCUGUGAUACGCUACGGAACAUGGAAAAACAUGUCAACAUAAAACAAACUAUUUUACAAGUAGUGUUGUUGAUCCACAUAAGGUGAUGAAGUGUUUCUUUUUGACUGUAACCUAUUUUAUUUUAAAGUCCUGAAAACACCAAAAUUCUAGGGAUGCAAAGAUGAAAACACAACAGACAUAUGCACUCAUAAAAUCUGGGCAGAUACAUGAAUUCUGAAGAGCAACAGAGGGCAUUUGCAUCAGCAAGUUAUACAACUACUCUCCACCGGGGAAGAGGACAGACCCUAUGAUGAUGAGUCACUGUUGGGACCACUCAGCAUCCUGUCAUGACCCCUGCUGAUUGUACUCAUGUGGGAUGGCAGGGGAGUGGGCGGGAAAAGGUCAAAAGCAGUUUGUUGUUCACGUUGUAUUUCAUGCAUUUAAUGCACUGCUUACUGAGUGACCUGUGCAAGAGGAUUUAUUUAUACACAAAAGUGUUGCAGCUCUUUGGAUUGCGAUGAUGCAAUGAAUGCAAUCUGUCUGUCCUGUCCACUACUUUGGGAGUCAAUGUUUGCUGUGAGAUUUUGUUCAUCAUCAGGCCAAAUGUCCAAUAUUAUUAACAUUCCCUGAGAUUGAGCUGGACUUUGUGUUUUGAGCUUAUUAGCCAAUGCUAGCAUGCUAGCACACUUAUUGAGGAUGGUGAGCAGUACACUGUUGAA